rnacentral:rRNA from 1 species
GAUUAAGUUAUUAAGGGCGCACGGUGGAUGCCUUGGCACUAGAAGCCGAUGAAGGACGUUACUAACGACGAUAUGCUUUGGGGAGCUGUAAGUAAGCUUUGAUCCAGAGAUUUCCGAAUGGGGAAACCCAGCAUGAGUUAUGUCAUGUUAUCGAUAUGUGAAUACAUAGCAUAUCAGAAGGCACACCCGGAGAACUGAAACAUCUUAGUACCCGGAGGAAGAGAAAGAAAAUUCGAUUCCCUUAGUAGCGGCAUGAGCGAAACGGGAAGAGCCCAAACCAACAAGCUUGCUUGUUGGGGUUGUAGGACACUCUAUACGGAGUUACAAAGGACGACAUUAGACGAAUCAUCUGGAAAGAUGAAUCAAAGAAGGUAAUAAUCCUGUAGUCGAAAAUGUUGUCUCUCUUGAGUGGAUCCUGAGUACGACGGAGCACGUGAAAUUCCGUCGGAAUCUGGGAGGACCAUCUCCUAAGGCUAAAUACUCUCUAGUGACCGAUAGUGAACCAGUACCGUGAGGGAAAGGUGAAAAGCACCCCGGAAGGGGAGUGAAAUAGAACCUGAAACCGUGUGCUUACAAGUAGUCAGAGCCCGUUAAUGGGUGAUGGCGUGCCUUUUGUAGAAUGAACCGGCGAGUUACGAUUUGAUGCAAGGUUAAGCAGUAAAUGUGGAGCCGUAGCGAAAGCGAGUCUGAAUAGGGCGUUUAGUAUUUGGUCGUAGACCCGAAACCAGGUGAUCUACCCUUGGUCAGGUUGAAGUUCAGGUAACACUGAAUGGAGGACCGAACCGACUUACGUUGAAAAGUGAGCGGAUGAACUGAGGGUAGCGGAGAAAUUCCAAUCGAACCUGGAGAUAGCUGGUUCUCUCCGAAAUAGCUUUAGGGCUAGCCUCAAGUGAUGAUUAUUGGAGGUAGAGCACUGUUUGGACGAGAGGGCCCCUCUCGGGUUACCGAAUUCAGACAAACUCCGAAUGCCAAUUAAUUUAACUUGGGAGUCAGAACAUGGGUGAUAAGGUCCGUGUUCGAAAGGGAAACAGCCCAGACCACCAGCUAAGGUCCCAAAAUAUAUGUUAAGUGGAAAAGGAUGUGGCGUUGCCCAGACAACUAGGAUGUUGGCUUAGAAGCAGCCAUCAUUUAAAGAGUGCGUAAUAGCUCACUAGUCGAGUGACACUGCGCCGAAAAUGUACCGGGGCUAAACAUAUUACCGAAGCUGUGGAUUGUCCUUUGGACAAUGGUAGGAGAGCGUUCUAAGGGCGUUGAAGCAUGAUCGUAAGGACAUGUGGAGCGCUUAGAAGUGAGAAUGCCGGUGUGAGUAGCGAAAGACGGGUGAGAAUCCCGUCCACCGAUUGACUAAGGUUUCCAGAGGAAGGCUCGUCCGCUCUGGGUUAGUCGGGUCCUAAGCUGAGGCCGACAGGCGUAGGCGAUGGAUAACAGGUUGAUAUUCCUGUACCACCUAUAAUCGUUUUAAUCGAUGGGGGGACGCAGUAGGAUAGGCGAAGCGUGCGAUUGGAUUGCACGUCUAAGCAGUAAGGCUGAGUAUUAGGCAAAUCCGGUACUCGUUAAGGCUGAGCUGUGAUGGGGAGAAGACAUUGAGUCUUCGAGUCGUUGAUUUCACACUGCCGAGAAAAGCCUCUAGAUAGAAAAUAGGUGCCCGUACCGCAAACCGACACAGGUAGUCAAGAUGAGAAUUCUAAGGUGAGCGAGCGAACUCUCGUUAAGGAACUCGGCAAAAUGACCCCGUAACUUCGGGAGAAGGGGUGCUCUUUAGGGUUAACGCCCAGAAGAGCCGCAGUGAAUAGGCCCAAGCGACUGUUUAUCAAAAACACAGGUCUCUGCUAAACCGUAAGGUGAUGUAUAGGGGCUGACGCCUGCCCGGUGCUGGAAGGUUAAGAGGAGUGGUUAGCUUCUGCGAAGCUACGAAUCGAAGCCCCAGUAAACGGCGGCCGUAACUAUAACGGUCCUAAGGUAGCGAAAUUCCUUGUCGGGUAAGUUCCGACCCGCACGAAAGGCGUAACGAUUUGGGCACUGUCUCAACGAGAGACUCGGUGAAAUCAUAGUACCUGUGAAGAUGCAGGUUACCCGCGACAGGACGGAAAGACCCCGUGGAGCUUUACUGUAGCCUGAUAUUGAAAUUCGGCACAGCUUGUACAGGAUAGGUAGGAGCCUUUGAAACGUGAGCGCUAGCUUACGUGGAGGCGCUGGUGGGAUACUACCCUAGCUGUGUUGGCUUUCUAACCCGCACCACUUAUCGUGGUGGGAGACAGUGUCAGGCGGGCAGUUUGACUGGGGCGGUCGCCUCCUAAAAGGUAACGGAGGCGCUCAAAGGUUCCCUCAGAAUGGUUGGAAAUCAUUCAUAGAGUGUAAAGGCAUAAGGGAGCUUGACUGCGAGACCUACAAGUCGAGCAGGGUCGAAAGACGGACUUAGUGAUCCGGUGGUUCCGCAUGGAAGGGCCAUCGCUCAACGGAUAAAAGCUACCCCGGGGAUAACAGGCUUAUCUCCCCCAAGAGUUCACAUCGACGGGGAGGUUUGGCACCUCGAUGUCGGCUCAUCGCAUCCUGGGGCUGUAGUCGGUCCCAAGGGUUGGGCUGUUCGCCCAUUAAAGCGGUACGCGAGCUGGGUUCAGAACGUCGUGAGACAGUUCGGUCCCUAUCCGUCGUGGGCGUAGGAAAUUUGAGAGGAGCUGUCCUUAGUACGAGAGGACCGGGAUGGACAUACCUCUGGUGUACCAGUUGUCGUGCCAACGGCAUAGCUGGGUAGCUAUGUGUGGACGGGAUAAGUGCUGAAAGCAUCUAAGCAUGAAGCCCCCCUCAAGAUGAGAUUUCCCAACUUCGGUUAUAAGAUCCCUCAAAGAUGAUGAGGUUAAUAGGUUCGAGGUGGAAGCAUGGUGACAUGUGGAGCUGACGAAUACUAAUCGAUCGAAGACUUAAUCAA